rnacentral:rRNA from 1 species
CUCGUAGGCGGUUUGGUAAGUCGGGUGUGAAAACUCUGGGCUCAACCCAGAGAUGCCACCCGAUACUGCUAUGACUAGAGUACGGUAGGGGAGCGGGGAAUUCAUGGUGUAGCGGUGAAAUGCGCAGAUAUCAUGAGGAACACCAGCGGCGAAGGCGCCGCUCUGGGCCGUAACUGACGCUGAGGAGCGAAAGCAUGGGUAGCAAACAGGAUUAGAUACCCUGGUAGUCC